rnacentral:rRNA from 1 species
AUAUUGGACAAUGGGCGAAAGCCUGAUCCAGCAAUGCCGCGUGGGUGAAGAAGGAUUUCGGUCUGUAAAGCCCUUUCAGUCGGGACGAGACGAAGACGGUACCGACAGAAGAAGCAUCGGCUAACUACGUGCCAGCAGCCGCGGUAAGACGUAGGAUGCAAGCGUUAUCCGGAAUUAUUGGGCGUAAAGCGUACGUAGGCGGUUCGCUAAGUCUGGAGUUAAAGACCGAGGCUCAACCUCGGGAGUGCUCUGGAAACUGGUGGGCUUGAGGACGGCAGAGGAAAGUGGAAUUCCCAGUGUAGCGGUGAAAUGCGUAGAUAUUGGGAGGAACACCAGUGGCGAAAGCGACUUUCUGGGCCGUUCCUGACGCUGAGGUACGAAAGCCAGGGGAGCAA